AGAGUUUGAUCAUGGCUCAGAUUGAACGCUGGCGGCAGGCCUUACACAUGCAAGUCGAGCGGUAACAGAUCUAGCUUGCUAGAUGCUGACGAGCGGCGGACGGGUGAGUAACGCGUAGGAAUUUACCUAAUGGCGGGGGACAACCUGGUGAAAACCAGGCUAAUACCGCAUACGCCCUACGGGGGAGGGCUCUUAGGACCUUGCACCAUUAGAUGAGCCUGCGUGAGAUUAGCUAGUUGGUGAGGUAAAGGCUCACCAAGGCGACGAUCUCUAGCUGGUCUGAGAGGAUGAUCAGCCACACUGGGACUGAGACACGGCCCAGACUCCUACGGGAGGCAGCAGUGGGGAAUAUUGCACAAUGGGGGCAACCCUGAUCCAGCCAUACCGCGUGUGUGAAGAAGGCCUUAGGGUUGUAAAGCACUUUCAGCGAGGAGGAGGAGUGUUACUUAAUACGUGACAUUCUUGACGUUACUCGCAGAAGAAGGACCGGCUAACUCCGUGCCAGCAGCCGCGGUAAUACGGAGGGGCCGAGCGUUAAUCGGAAUUACUGGGCGUAAAGCGCGCGUAGGCGGUUAGAUCAGUCAGAUGUGAAAGCCCUGGGCUCAACCUGGGAACUGCGUCUGAUACUGUCUAACUAGAGUUUGGUAGAGGAGUGUGGAAUUUCCGGUGUAGCGGUGAAAUGCGUAGAGAUCGGAAGGAAUACCAGUGGCGAAGGCGGCCCCCUGGACUGAUACUGACGCUGAGGUGCGAAAGCGUCGGGAGCAAACAGGAUUAGAUACCCUGGUAGUCCACGCCGUAAACGAUGGAGAACUAGCCGUUGGGGACCUUGAGUCUUUAGUGGCGCAGCUAACGCGAUAAGUUCUCCGCCUGGGGAGUACGGCCGCAAGGUUAAAACUCAAAUGAAUUGACGGGGGCCCGCACAAGCGGUGGAGCAUGUGGUUUAAUUCGAUACAACGCGAAAAACCUUACCUACCCUUGACAUCCUGCGAACUUUCUAGAGAUAGAUUGGUGCCUUCGGGAACGCAGUGACAGGUGCUGCAUGGCUGUCGUCAGCUCGUGUCGUGAGAUGGUGGGUUAAGUCCCGUAACGAGCGCAACCCUUGUCCCUAGUUGCCAGCGAUUCGGUCGGGAACUCUAGGGAGACUGCCGGUGACAAACCGGAGGAAGGUGGGGAUGACGUCAAGUCAUCAUGGCCCUUAUGGGUAGGGCUACACACGUGCUACAAUGGCCGGUACAGAGGGCUGCGAAGUCGCAAGGCGGAGCUAAUCUCACAAAACCGGUCGUAGUCCGGAUUGGAGUCUGCAACUCGACUCCAUGAAGUCGGAAUCGCUAGUAAUCGCGGAUCAGAAUGCCGCGGUGAAUACGUUCCCGGGCCUUGUACACACCGCCCGUCACACCAUGGAAGUGGGUUGCACCAGAAGUAGUUAGUCUAACCUUCGGGAGGACGAUUACCACGGUGUGAUUCAUGACUGGGGUGAAAUCGUAACAAGGUAGCCGUA
rnacentral:rRNA from 1 species